UUUUCCACGAGCCACGCCCUAAAUCAAAAUGGCUGAUGGCCAGUUACCGUCCAUCGAAGCAGGAGAUCGCUCGGUUCGAAGGAGAGUGGACGAGGACAUUCACCGUCACCUUAUAGCUGGUUUUCAUCCAAUCGAUCCGGUUGGUGGAGGAGGGCACAACAUGAAACCACCAUCCCUCGGACAUCAUGGAGAAGUUCGUGUAAAGUUU